UGGGGAAUAUGCACAAUGGGCGCAAGCCUGAUGCAGCAACGCCGCGUGAGGGAUGACGGCCUUCGGGUUGUAAACCUCUUUUAGCAGGGAAGAAGCGAAAGUGGACGGUACCUGCAGAAAAACGCACCGGCUAACUACGUGCCAGCAGCCGCGGUAAUACGUAGGGGUGCAAGCGUUGUCCGGAAUUAUUGGGGCGUAAAGAGCUCGUAGGCGGUCUGUCGCGUCUGCUGUGAAAUCCCCGAGGCUCAACCUCGGGCCUGCAGUGGGUACGGGCAGACUAGAGUGCGGUAGGGGAGAAUGGAACUCCUGGUGUAGCGGUGGAAUGCGCAGAUAUCAGGAAGAACACCGAUGGCGAAGGCAGUUCUCUGGGCCGUAACUGACGCUGAGGAGCGAAAGCGUGGGGAGCGAANAGGAUUAGAUACCCUGGUGUCCACGCCGUAAACGUUGGCGCUAGAUGUGGGGACCAUUCCACGGUUUCCGUGUCGCAGCUAACGCAUUAAGCGCCCCGCCUGGGGAGUACGGCCGCAAGGCU
rnacentral:rRNA from 1 species